UGCUAGGUGGUGUAGUUGGUAAACACCCCCUCCACGGUGCCUCUUCUGAGGAUCGUUCUGUAGCGUGCUAUGGAGGCUUGAAGGAGGGUGCCACAGGUUCGAACCCUGUCCCGGCAG